rnacentral:lncRNA from 1 species
CCCCUCCAUCACUCCAUUGUCCUCCGUCGGUCGAUUUGCUUUUCAAGGCUGCCGAUUGCCGCUGCACUUGCCCCACACUCUCUCGGCCUCUCAGCAAGCAUGUCUCCUUCUCGUGUGCACUGUUGUCAUCCCUCUUGCAGUGGCUAAGGUAAUUUUAAUUUGGGAACCUUUUGAUUUUAAGUUGGAUAUGUUAUGAACAAUGUUAAGGAGAUUUGUUGCCUUGUGGUGUCCAAACAUGAAUACC